rnacentral:rRNA from 1 species
GGGUUGUGAGGUUAAGCGACUAAGCGUACACGGUGGAUGCCCUGGCAGUCAGAGGCGAUGAAGGACGUGCUAAUCUGCGAUAAGCGUCGGUAAGGUGAUAUGAACCGUUAUAACCGGCGAUUUCCGAAUGGGGAAACCCAGUGUGUUUCGACACACUAUCAUUAACUGAAUCCAUAGGUUAAUGAGGCGAACCGGGGGAACUGAAACAUCUAAGUACCCCGAGGAAAAGAAAUCAACCGAGAUUCCCCCAGUAGCGGCGAGCGAACGGGGAGCAGCCCAGAGCCUGAAUCAGUGUGUGUGUUAGUGGAAGCGUCUGGAAAGGCGCGCGAUACAGGGUGACAGCCCCGUACACAAAAAUGCACAUGCUGUGAGCUCGAUGAGUAGGGCGGGACACGUGGUAUCCUGUCUGAAUAUGGGGGGACCAUCCUCCAAGGCUAAAUACUCCUGACUGACCGAUAGUGAACCAGUACCGUGAGGGAAAGGCGAAAAGAACCCCGGCGAGGGGAGUGAAAAAGAACCUGAAACCGUGUACGUACAAGCAGUGGGAGCCUCUUUAUGGGGUGACUGCGUACCUUUUGUAUAAUGGGUCAGCGACUUAUAUUCUGUAGCAAGGUUAACCGAAUAGGGGAGCCGAAGGGAAACCGAGUCUUAACUGGGCGUUAAGUUGCAGGGUAUAGACCCGAAACCCGGUGAUCUAGCCAUGGGCAGGUUGAAGGUUGGGUAACACUAACUGGAGGACCGAACCGACUAAUGUUGAAAAAUUAGCGGAUGACUUGUGGCUGGGGGUGAAAGGCCAAUCAAACCGGGAGAUAGCUGGUUCUCCCCGAAAGCUAUUUAGGUAGCGCCUCGUGAAUUCAUCUCCGGGGGUAGAGCACUGUUUCGGCAAGGGGGUCAUCCCGACUUACCAACCCGAUGCAAACUGCGAAUACCGGAGAAUGUUAUCACGGGAGACACACGGCGGGUGCUAACGUCCGUCGUGAAGAGGGAAACAACCCAGACCGCCAGCUAAGGUCCCAAAGUCAUGGUUAAGUGGGAAACGAUGUGGGAAGGCCCAGACAGCCAGGAUGUUGGCUUAGAAGCAGCCAUCAUUUAAAGAAAGCGUAAUAGCUCACUGGUCGAGUCGGCCUGCGCGGAAGAUGUAACGGGGCUAAACCAUGCACCGAAGCUGCGGCAGCGACGCUUAUGCGUUGUUGGGUAGGGGAGCGUUCUGUAAGCCUGUGAAGGUGUGCUGUGAGGCAUGCUGGAGGUAUCAGAAGUGCGAAUGCUGACAUAAGUAACGAUAAAGCGGGUGAAAAGCCCGCUCGCCGGAAGACCAAGGGUUCCUGUCCAACGUUAAUCGGGGCAGGGUGAGUCGACCCCUAAGGCGAGGCCGAAAGGCGUAGUCGAUGGGAAACAGGUUAAUAUUCCUGUACUUGGUGUUACUGCGAAGGGGGGACGGAGAAGGCUAUGUUGGCCGGGCGACGGUUGUCCCGGUUUAAGCGUGUAGGCUGGUUUUCCAGGCAAAUCCGGAAAAUCAAGGCUGAGGCGUGAUGACGAGGCACUACGGUGCUGAAGCAACAAAUGCCCUGCUUCCAGGAAAAGCCUCUAAGCAUCAGGUAACAUCAAAUCGUACCCCAAACCGACACAGGUGGUCAGGUAGAGAAUACCAAGGCGCUUGAGAGAACUCGGGUGAAGGAACUAGGCAAAAUGGUGCCGUAACUUCGGGAGAAGGCACGCUGAUAUGUAGGUGAAGUCCCUCGCGGAUGGAGCUGAAAUCAGUCGAAGAUACCAGCUGGCUGCAACUGUUUAUUAAAAACACAGCACUGUGCAAACACGAAAGUGGACGUAUACGGUGUGACGCCUGCCCGGUGCCGGAAGGUUAAUUGAUGGGGUUAGCGCAAGCGAAGCUCUUGAUCGAAGCCCCGGUAAACGGCGGCCGUAACUAUAACGGUCCUAAGGUAGCGAAAUUCCUUGUCGGGUAAGUUCCGACCUGCACGAAUGGCGUAAUGAUGGCCAGGCUGUCUCCACCCGAGACUCAGUGAAAUUGAACUCGCUGUGAAGAUGCAGUGUACCCGCGGCAAGACGGAAAGACCCCGUGAACCUUUACUAUAGCUUGACACUGAACAUUGAGCCUUGAUGUGUAGGAUAGGUGGGAGGCUUUGAAGUGUGGACGCCAGUCUGCAUGGAGCCGACCUUGAAAUACCACCCUUUAAUGUUUGAUGUUCUAACGUUGACCCGUGAUCCGGGUUGCGGACAGUGUCUGGUGGGUAGUUUGACUGGGGCGGUCUCCUCCUAAAGAGUAACGGAGGAGCACGAAGGUUGGCUAAUCCUGGUCGGACAUCAGGAGGUUAGUGCAAUGGCAUAAGCCAGCUUGACUGCGAGCGUGACGGCGCGAGCAGGUGCGAAAGCAGGUCAUAGUGAUCCGGUGGUUCUGAAUGGAAGGGCCAUCGCUCAACGGAUAAAAGGUACUCCGGGGAUAACAGGCUGAUACCGCCCAAGAGUUCAUAUCGACGGCGGUGUUUGGCACCUCGAUGUCGGCUCAUCACAUCCUGGGGCUGAAGUAGGUCCCAAGGGUAUGGCUGUUCGCCAUUUAAAGUGGUACGCGAGCUGGGUUUAGAACGUCGUGAGACAGUUCGGUCCCUAUCUGCCGUGGGCGCUGGAGAACUGAGGGGGGCUGCUCCUAGUACGAGAGGACCGGAGUGGACGCAUCACUGGUGUUCGGGUUGUCAUGCCAAUGGCACUGCCCGGUAGCUAAAUGCGGAAGAGAUAAGUGCUGAAAGCAUCUAAGCACGAAACUUGCCCCGAGAUGAGUUCUCCCUGACUCCUUGAGAGUCCUGAAGGAACGUUGAAGACGACGACGUUGAUAGGCCGGGUGUGUAAGCGCAGCGAUGCGUUGAGCUAACCGGUACUAAUGAACCGUGAGGCUUAACCUUACAACGCCGAAGCUGUU